UGAGGAAUCUUGCGCAAGGGGGCAACCCUGACGCAGCAACGCCGCGUGAGUGAGGAAGGUCUUCGGGUCGUAAAGCUCUGUCAGGCGGGAAGAAAUGGAUGGAGGUGAACAGCCGCCAUGCUUGACGGUACCGCCAGAGGAAGCACCGGCUAACUCCGUGCCAGCAGCCGCGGUAAUACGGGGGGUGCAAGCGUUGUUCGGAAUCAUUGGGCGUAAAGAGCGUGUAGGCGGCUUGGUAAGUCAGAUGUGAAAGCCCUGGGCUCAACCCGGGAAGUGCAUUUGAAACUGCCAGGCUCGAGUAGGGGAGAGGGAAGUGGAAUUCCUGGUGUAGAGGUGAAAUUCGUAGAUAUCAGGAGGAACACCGGUGGCGAAGGCGACUUCCUGGCCCUAUACUGACGCUGAGACGCGAGAGCGUGGGUAGCAAACAG
rnacentral:rRNA from 1 species